CUGCUGCCUUCCGUAGGAGUCUGGGCCGUGUCUCAGUCCCAAUGUGGCCGGUCAACCUCUCAGUCCGGCUACUGAUCGUCGCCUUGGUGGGCCGUUACCCCGCCAACCAGCUAAUCAGACGCGAGUCCAUCUCAGAGCGAUAAAUCUUUGGCAGUCAGAGCCAUGCGGCCCAACUGCAUUAUGCGGUAUUAGCACAUCUUUCGAUGUGUUAUUCCCCACUCCAAGGCAGGUUCU
rnacentral:rRNA from 1 species